rnacentral:rRNA from 1 species
AGUUACGUGACGCUGAGGCGGGAAAGCGUGGGGAGCAAACCGGAUUAGAUACCCGGGUAGUCCACGCCCUAAACGAUGAGUGCUGGGUGUCCGGCGUUUGCCGGGUGCCGAAGCUAACGCGUUAAGCACUCCGCCUGGGAAGUACGGUCGCAGGACUGAAACUCAAAGGAAUUGACGGGGGCCCGCACAAGCGGUGGAGCAUGUGGUUUAAUUCGAAGGAACGCGAAGAACCUUACCAGGCCUUGACAUCCUAGGAACCCUGAUGAAAGUCGGGGGUGCCCGCAAGGGAACCUAGAGACAGGUGCUGCAUGGCUGUCGUCAGCUCGUGUCGUGAGAUGUUGGGUUAAGUCCCGCAACGAGCGCAACCCUUGUCCUUAGUUGCUAACGGGUAAGCCGAGCUCUCUAGGGAGACUGCCCGCGAAAGCGGGAGGAAGGCGGGGAUGACGUCUAGCCCGCAUGGCCCUUACGGCCUGGGCGACACACGUGCUACAAUGCCCGGCACAGAGCGCUGCCACAUCGCAAGAUGGAGCUAAUCGCCUAAAUCCGGGCUCAGUUCGGAUUGGGGUCUGCAACCCGACCCCAUGAAGCUGGAAUCGCUAGUAAUCGCGGAUCAGCCAUGCCGCGGUGAAUACGUUCCCGGGCCUUGUACACACCGCCCGUCACGCCAUGGGAGUGGGUUUCACCUGAAGUCGCUGGGAGCCACAGGCAGGCGCCGAGGGUGGGGCUCAU